UACGUAGGCAGCAAGCGUUGUUCGGAGUUACUGGGCGUAAAGGGCGUGUAGGCGGCCUGUUAAGUUCGGUGUGAAAUCUCCCGGCUCAACCGGGAGGGUGCGCGGAAAACUGGCGGGCUAGAGUACGGGAUGGGAGAGUAGAAUUCCUGGUGUAGCGGUGAAAUGCGUAGAUAUCAGGAGGAAUACCGGUGGUGUAGACGGCUCUCUGGACCGUAACUGACGCUGAGACACGAAAGCGUGGGUAGCAAACAGG
rnacentral:rRNA from 1 species